CCAGAGCGGGCCUGGCGUCCAGGCCUCUCACCAUCAAAGAGGGUGAAGAAAGCCUCUCUCUCGUCCCUGAUGUCCAGACGGUAAAAAGACUGGCAGGAAAUGGCGCUCCGGUGUGAUGAAUGGAAGACCCUCGUGAACCUGAAGGAAACAUCCAAGAAAACGCGAUGACACCGUGUCCUGCCACGUCCUUCCUCCAAAUACACGUUUGGUGGCGUGGGGUGCUAAGGAGGGGCUGACAUUGCUCGUCGGGCUGGUGCCUUCUGGCCAGGGCUGAGUUGUCUGGGGCGACGUGGGUCCCCGCAGAUUUUAGGAGGCCGUCCCUUCUGGGGGUCGGCCCUGGGAGACAGACCUGGUCCUGAGCGGCCGCCACCCCCGGAGGCCUGCCCUGCUCAGCCCAGCCUGGGGGUCUCUGCCCAGCCAGGCAGCCCUCCGCUCCCCUCCCUCCCCUCCCUCACGUUUCUGGGCAGAGUCCCAAGAGGACCCGCAGGGCUCCUGGGGCUGGGGGGCUGGGCGGGGCCAGGGACGGCAGGCCCCGCCCUCAGGGCCAGCCAGGACCCCCGCUGGUGGCCCGCCUGCCCCUCUUACCUGCCCGACAAGGUGGUGUGAGCCCUGUGCCAGGGAAGCAACAGUGGUGACCAGGCAACUGUCUCCUAGCAACCAUGACCCAGAGGCCCAGAGAUGUGAUUAUCUGAUGGGCCCUAAAUCCGGCAACCAGUGGCCUCGGGAGAGGGAGGGAGAGAGGAGGAGACACAGAGGGGAGAAGCCAGCUGAA